AUUGAACGCUGGCGGCAGGCCUAACACAUGCAAGUCGAACGGUAACAGGAAGCAGCUUGCUGCUUUGCUGACGAGUGGCGGACGGGUGAGUAAUGUCUGGGAAACUGCCUGAUGGAGGGGGAUAACUACUGGAAACGGUAGCUAAUACCGCAUAACGUCGCAAGACCAAAGAGGGGGACCUUCGGGCAUCUUGCCAUCGGAUGUGCCCAGAUGGGAUUAGCUAGUAGGUGGGGUAACGGCUCACCUAGGCGACGAUCCCUAGCUGGUCUGAGAGGAUGACCAACGACACUGGAUCAGGGACACGCUCCAGACUCGUACGCGUAGCAGCAGUGGGCAAAACUGCAGAACGGGCGCAAUCCUGCUGAAACAAUGCAGGGUGUAUGAAGAAGGCCUUCAGGUUGUAAACUACAUCCAGCGGGGAGGAAGGGAGUGAACUUAAUACGUUAAGUCAUUGACGUUACCCGGAGAAGGAACACCGGCUAAGUACGUG
rnacentral:rRNA from 1 species